ensembl:lncRNA
AGAAACAGAAUCACAUUUACUGCUUUAAUAUCUUAGAAAAAUAUUGAUCGAGCAGAUGAGAGAAAAUUAGAAUCUAAAACAUUGCCUACCUAAAUUACAUUAACACAAUUAACGUAAUAAUGUAAAGAAAUUAUGUUUCGUUGAUCACAGAAUUAUUAAUUUUCUUUUUAGUAUAGUAUAAGGUCGCAUCAUGUUCAUGACACACUUCUGUCUCGUCAUGUAAUUAAACUGCACAUUUUUCUUUUCGUAAAUGCCAUGCGAUUUUAUUGCUAAAAAAAAUCUCACAUCGUAAAUCAACGGUAACUUAAAUGGUUUUAAAACUAAGUGUGAAUGUAUAAUAAACUUACCACACCUAGCUAAUAUGGAUCUGUAACGUUUUAAAAGAACCGAUUUGAUUCAGCGCCAUGAAUUUUCAAAAUAAACAACGUCAUUUCCGCCUCCUUUCCAAAUCCGGACCACUGAUCUAUAAUAUAGAUUUGUUUAAACGUUGAAAAUAAAUGUAUGUAUAUAAAAUAUAUACAUCGUUGUAAGAUUCUUAAACCGAUAAUAUAUCCGAACGAGGUUAGUUAAAGAAUGCGUUUUGUUUUGUUUAAUUUUAUUUAAAUUGAUAAAAGUUAUCCUCCGCUCCACUAGAGGACGCGAGAGGAGCGCGUCAUCUCUGAAGUCACUGAGUGCGCCGUGAGGAAGAGACGCGGCGGUUGAGUUCAAAUUUUGAGAAGAAAAAAAGACAAGCAGCGAGUGGAGGGAAAUUACAUUUAGUACGCUGUAUUAUUCACGUAACGUUCCAUUGAAGAUGGAGCAGCCGAAUCUUGGCAAUGAUGCAGUAAAAUCUUCAAGAAGAAGACUUUCUUCGAUUUUAAAAGCUCCUCGAACAUCUAUGAAAAUACAUGGGGCUGAGCAAGAGGAACAAAAGCAGGAGGAAAUUGUUAAGCCUGUUGAGAAGAAGAGAAAUUCACGAAGAGUGAGUUUUGCCACUACAAAUAAUGUU